UUACUUGCUUUGUCAGUACAUAAACUAAAAUUGGAAUGAUACAGGGAAUAGCCUGGUCCCUGUGCAAGGAUGACACGCACAUUUGUGACUCAUUCCAUGCUUUU
ensembl:snRNA LOC120097315 U6 spliceosomal RNA